AGUUCUUAUCGUAACCUUAUCUUGAAAUCUAGUACUCAAGCGCUAUAAAUUCAAUACUAUUGUUAAAGAGUUUCACCACACCAAGAAGCUAAGAAGAAUACCAGCAACAAAAGUAGAGAAGAGAAGAUGCAUCAACCUCACGGACCUCCUCAGCAUCAGGGUCCGCCUCCUCCCGGUUCCGAAGGACCUCCACCGGGAGGUCCGGGUCAUCAUGGACCUCCACCAGGUGGUCCGGGUCACCAUGGACCUCCAACAGGAGGUCCGGGUCACCAAGGACCUCCACCGGGUGGUCCAGGUCACCAAGGACCUGCACCAGGACACCAUGGACCUCCAUCGGGUGGGCCAGGUCACCAUGGUGGCCCCGGCGGCCAUGGCGGGCACUGCUAAACAGGUGCAUGGUUUGCUCGGGUUAUAUAAAAUGUUAGUUUGCUGUAACAAAAGGUCUUAGAGAGGAAUAAGGAUCAUUAAGUGAUUGAUCAGAUAAGAACUAUGCCCUUACAUUACUUGUAUCAUGUGUGUUUUGAGGUAUGCCGUGAAAAGUGGGAAGCCUGACUUGAUCUUUGUACUGAUGUUUUUGUAAGUUCUAUCUUGUAUGUGUGUUAAUCAAAUAAAUUAUAUAUGGGAGUAGUUUCAUAUCUAUGGCAAGGAAUCAAAUAGCGGUUCGAUACAACGAUAGUAAAAUUAGGGUAGCAUCGAUAUCCGCUAUCGUUAUUGAAUAAAACACGAUUGAUAUUUUAUUCAUAGUAAAAACAAAAAAUAACGAUUGUAAAAUAAUAACGUAAUUAUGAAUAACGAUAAUAACGGAUCAUUAUUGCUGUUAUUUUAUUUUUUUUUUACGAAUUUAAUAAUUCAAAAAAAUAAAAUUUUAAAUCUGAAGGUAGCACGAAGAAGAUGAACAGAAGAGAGUAAGUGCAUUUUUAGAAGGGUAUGCUAGAAAGAAUUAAACAAUUUGGGGAUAUUGGGCACGUGGGGAGAGAUUGGAUGGGGUGAGGAGGGAUUGAGUGUGGUGGGGCGUUAGGGGGAAGGUGGGGAGAGAUUGGGUGUGGUGGGGUGUUAGGAGGGUAUGAUUGAAUUUUUUAUUUAAUUUUGUAAUUAAUUUUUAAAAGUUUUUUACAUAAAAUUUAAUUAGUGGUUUUGAAAUUUUAUAAUUAAAAAAAAGAGAUUAAUAAUUUAAUAUAAUAUAAAUAGAGAUUUUAGAUGAAAUUUGAUAAAUUUUUUUGUAUAAAUUAGAUGAAAAUAAUUAAAAUUUAAAUAUUAUAUUUUGAUUGCGUUAUAUAUUAAUUUAUAAUUUUGUAUCUGAAUUUUAAUUUUUUUUUGUUGUUUUUGAUAUUUAUAUUAUUGUCAAUUCUUUUGAUAUUAGAUUAAUUCUUGUUAUUUUUGUGUAAUUAUUGAAGAUUGUGUUUAUUAUAUAAUUAUUGAAAGUUAUUUGUGAUAAAAAAAUUUAUAUCAAUUAGUGUAUCAAAAAGAUUAAAUUACUUAAUAAAUUUAGCAUUUUAUGAUCUAUUACUCUUAUUAAGAUUAAAACUAAAAAUAAAAAUAUAGGUUUGAAAAUUUUAUUAAAAUAUAAGUUUAAAAUUUUUUAAUUUUUGAAUUUUUUUAAGAUAAAAUCUAAUUAGAGGGAUUGAAGAUUUAUAAUUAAAAAAAUUAAGAGAUUAAUAAUUUAAUAUGAUAUAUAUAGAGAUUUUAGAUAAAUUUUUUUGUAUAAGUUAGACGAAAAUUAAUUAAAAUUAAAUAUUAUAUUUUGAUUGUAUUAGAUAUUAAUUUAUAAUUUUGUAUAUAAAAUUUAAUAAUUUUUUUAUUGUUUUGAUAUUUAUAUUGUUGUCAAUUCUUUUGAUAUUAGAUUAAUUCUUGUUAUUUUUGUGUAAUUAUUGAAGAUUGUAUUUAUUAUAUAAUUAUUGAAAGUUAUUUGUGAUAAAAAUUUUAUAUCAAUUAGUAUAUAAAAAAGAUUAAGUUAUUUAAUAAUAUUCUUAAGAUUAAAAACUAAAAAUUAAAAAAUUUAGUGUAAAAUCGGUUUUUAAUGAUGUAAUAAGUAAUAUUAAUAUUUUUAAAUAUAAGUUUAUUUUGUUUUUAUACAAAAUAGCAAGUAUGCCACCAUGUGAAGAGUUUUCGAGUACAUGAGUAGAGGGCGUGCCAAGUGAUGAUAUAGGUUGGUAUUUUGGAACACCUGUGCCAAAUACAAGAAUGAAUGUUUCAUGUAAAUUUUGUGGUAAAAUUGUAAAAUGAGGAAUAACAUGUUUCAAAGAAUACAUUGCUCAUAAAACUGACAAUGUUGCACCAUGCCCUAACGUUACUGGUAUAUUAUGUUUUUUUAAUUCCUUUGAAAAUAUUAUUGUUAAUUUCUUAAUAAAAAUUAUAAAAUUACAUAAGCAUGUGUAACUAAUUUUUUCUCUUUUUUUAAACUAUAUUAUUAAUAGAUAUAGUAAGAGAAAGUAUGAUGAAAUUUCUUCAAGAAAGUAAAUAAAAAAAAGCUGACAACAAAAGGAGAAAAAAUGAAUUUUUAUCACAGUUAAGAGGGGAAGAUGAUUAUGAAAGAUUUAUUGAUGAAGACAUCGCUAUUAGACAAGCCAUGCGAGAUAGCAUCCAAUCACAACAUGAGUGGCAUAGAAGAUAAAAAUUCAGACAAAGGACUAGUGGUUGGAGUAACAUAUAUGAAGAGGGACGAAGCUCUCAUGGCUCAGUUACUGAAUAUUUUGAAGAAAAAACAAAGAAAUCAACUAUAAAUGAGUCUGAAUUUUCAUUAAGGGGAGCUAUACCUGAAUUGGUUAGAAGUAAGAGUUCAAGGUAACCAAUAGUAAGUGAUUCAUUUUUAAAGACAUUAAAAAGAAAGAUGGGUGAAUCAGUAUCAAAAUUUUUUAUAUAUGAUUGAUUUUCUUUUCGGUUAGCAAAUUUUUCAUGGUUGCAUAAAUUGAUUUCUGUGACAGCAGAAGUUGGCCAACAUAUAAAACUUCAAAUACUUUAUGAGGUCUCAGAUGUGUAUUUAGAGUCUGAGUACACCUUAUGAGAUCUCAGAUAUGUAUUUAGAGUCUGAGUAUCAACAAGUUUAUAAAUGAGUUAAUGGAUUAAAAGCUUAUUGGAAUGAAUUGGAUGUCACUUUGAUGUGUGAUGGUUGGACCAAUAGUUUGAAUCAAAUGCAUAUCAUUAAUUUCCUUGUUUAUUGUAGUAAAGUGACCAUUUUUUGAAAAUCUGUAUAUGUCUUAAGUGUUCGUAGUAGAGAUACAAACUUUUACUACAGAUUAUUAGAUGAAGUUGUAGAAGAAAUUAAAGAAAAAUACAUUGUUCAAAUAGUCGCUGAUAACGAGGCAACACUUAAGGCUGCAGGAAAAAGACUAAUGAAGAAGAGAAAACAUUUAUAUUGGACAGCAUGUUCAACUUAUUGUUUGGACUUGUGCCUUGAAGAUAUUGAAAGGAAAAAAAUGUGGCAAAGGUUUUGGAUGAUGCAAAGAAAGUGACUUGUUUUAUAUAUAAUCACAUUUAGACUGUUAAUUUAAUGAAAAAAUAUGCAUAAGAGAAGCAAUACUUCAUCUUGCUCUUACCCGAUUUACCAUUCAUUUCAUAUAGUUAGAAGAAAUAAUGAAGUAAAAGCAAAGUUUGAGAGAGAUGUUCAAUUCAAAAGCUAGUACUUAGUAAUUAGUACAACUAUUUAAAUCUAACAUCUUUUUAUGAUAUGAUUGUUUAAAAUAUUUGUAGACACCCAAUUGGGUCCAGGCCCAGACCAAUUGGGCCUGGCCCAAAGGGGGUAAGCCCGAUGCAAUUUUUUCUUGUAUUAUUAUUAUUUUCUUUUUUCUUUUUCUUUUCUUCUUUUGUGUUUUAUUUAUUUUAUUAUUAUCAUUAUUAUGUACUAACAUAUGUAUAUAUUGAUUUAUUUAGUUAUUUAUUUUUUUGUUAAUAUUUAUAUGUAAUUUAUUUAUAUAGUUAUAUAUGUAUUAUUAUUAUAUUAUUAUUAUUAUUAUUUUAUAAUAUAUUUUUAGGUUUAUCUUAUUUUAUUUUUUAAAUUAUCUGUUAAUUUUAUCUGAUCCUUUUUGAUUAUCUGAUUUUUUUUCCUAUCUUUUCUAAUUAUCUAUCUUUUUAUUUUAUUUGAUUUUGGAGGGCUGGGAUUGAAAGUUGAAGAAUCCCACUGAGAGUGGGAAUUCAAUCAGAAGAAUCCAGACUGGAUUCAAAGAUUGAAUUCCCGUCCAAAGGAGAAUUGAGAUUGAUCAGAAACUCCUGAUCAAUCCCUAUAUAAAGCACCUCCUGGAACAGAAUGAAACACACAGAAAAGAGUAAGCAAAGCUACUGAUUUGAGAGAAAAGGAGGCGUAUAGGAAGCUAAGAAAAGUUUAUGAGUGUUCUGGGAGUGAGAAAAAUUUUUUAGAAAUUUUUGGCGAAAAUUUUUUUUGAAAAUUUCUGGGAAAUUUCCAGAUUCCGACGAAAAUUCUGGCGAAAUUUGAAUUUUUCGGCAACAAUUCCGGUGAACAUUGAAGUUUCCGGUGACCUGCCCAGUUUUCGACGAAGAAUCCCAGAAACCGGUGGUAUUCCGGCCAACUUCUGGCGAUAUUUCCAGAUUCUGACGUAAUUUUCCAGAAUCCGGCACCGUUGUUCUUCAGAUUUUAGAGAGAAGGGAGAGGAAAAGGGAAGAAGAGAGAGAGAGGGGAGGAGCGUUCUGCCGAAAAACGAAGGGGAUUGCCUUUUAUACCCUCCCAAAACGACGUCGUUUUGGCCUUAAGUAACCAGAGGAUCCGCGCGUUUUGCCGAACCCGACCCGACCCGAGCGUCCACCCGCUUUCCUGACCCGCGCGUGCUGCCCUUCUCCAAGUCGAGUCGAGCCGAGCCGAGCUUCCAAGCCGCUCCCCCGAGCCGUUUCUCUUCCUUGAGCCGAGCCGAGCCGAGCCACUCCAGGUUUUUUUUUUUUUUGAAUUUUUAUUUAUUUGUUUUAUCUUUAUUUAUUUUUAUUUAUUAGAUUAGAUUUAUUUAAUAUUUUUUUUCUUUCUCUUAUUUUUAUUUUUGUUUUACUUUUCUUUAAUUUUUUUAUUUUUAUUUAUUUUCACUUUUUUUUAUUAUUCUAUUUUCUUUAAAUAAAAAUCAAAAAAUUCCAAAAAAAAAUAUUUUUAGGGAAAAGUUGAAAGUAUCAAUUUUUCUUAAAAAUAAAUUUCCAAAAAAUAUUUUUGGGGAAAAGUUGAAAGUAUCAAUUUUCCUUGAAAAUCAAAUUUUCAAAAAAAAUAUUUUUGGCGAAAAGUUGAAAGUAUCAUUUUUCCUUAGAAAUAAAUUUUCAAAAAAAGGGUUUUUUUGAAGGUAUCAAUUUUCCUUGAAAAUCGAAAUUUCCAAAAAAUAUUUUUGGAAAAAAGUUGAAAGUAUCAAUUUUUCCUACAAAAAAAAAUCAUUAUUUCCUUCCUUUCUAUCUUAAUUUUGAUUUUAUUUUUUUUUUUUUAAAUAAUCCGACGACGGAGCCUCUGCAAGUGAAACAGUAGUUUUUCUUGCAUACUCUUGAGGUGAGGGAAUUUUCUCAAUUUUUUGCUAAAAGUAUUAGAGUCAAUUGAGAAAAUUUUCCAAUAAUUAAUUACUUGGUAAAAUUUUAAGGCUCUUGGAUAACACAAAUUUAAGCUGGUACCAUCUUUUGAUGGGCGUUGUGAGGUUGCUAUAACCUUCCUCACACGUAAUCGAACUCCCGAACCCUAUUCUGGUUUGUAGACCUGAACCUAUUCUUCUAGGGACCCUUAAACUUAGGUGUUCCCUAAAAGGACAGAUUCCAUAGGUGGCCAAUCGCACCUAGAUAAAAAAGAUUGGUGGCGACUCCCUAAAAGUCAAUGUCUAGCGAUAGAUCCCCGGAUCUAGACGUUAUGACAAUAUUAAUUUAAAAUAUAUUACUCUAAAAAUUUAUUGAUGAAUAUAUAAGAAUUUAAAGAUUCAAAAUGGGGACAACAAAAAUCAAGACCUGCUUAUGAAGUCAAAAAAAUUAUUUUGGGAAAAGAUUUUUUGAAAAAAAAAAUAGGCGAUAUAAUAAAAGUUUAUGAGCUUUUGGUAAAAGUGUUGUGCAUUGUGGAUGGUUAUGAAAAACCAACAAUAAGCUUUAUUUACGAGGCUGUGGAUAGAGCUAAACAUGUAAUUCAAUAAAAUUAUUGUUAUUCUGUUGAAUAUGAAAAGAUUAUUGACAAUAUAUGGAGUUUUAUGCAUUCUGACUUGCAUUUAGCUGGUAAGUAAACUAAGAAUAUAGAUGGUAUUUAAAAAAUAUGUUUAUUUUUUAUACUUAAAUUGCUUAUAUAUUUAUUUUUAUUACUUUAAUAUAAUAUUGUUAUGAAUUAUGUUUAGGUUACUAUCUAAAUCCACAAUUUCAAUUUGGAAUAGAACAUUCUGCAAAUGUAUUUUAAGAAACAUUAGAAGGUAUAAAAAUAGUUAUUGAAAUAUUAGAACCUUUAAUAGAUACUCAAAUAAGAAUGAUUAAUCAGGUUAGUAUUUAAUAUUAUUUUAUAACUUUAACAUUUAUUUUAUGUAUUAAAAAUUAAAUUAUUUUUUAUUUAUUCAUUUGUUAUUGUAUUUUCAAUCGAUGUAGUUGUUAUUAUUUCAAGACAAGCAUGAAACAUUUGGUACUCCACAAACACAAAGAGCUUAGAAGCAAAUAAAUUCAGGUAAAUAGUAAAUUAAAUAAUUAUAAUUUAUUUAUGUUAUUUAAUUAUAUAGCACAUUGAAAUUUAAUUUAAAUAAUUUUAUAUAGCUGAAUGGUAGAUGAUAUACGGUACUUGUGUUCUUGAAUUACAAAAACUAGCAAUCAAAGCGCUUAGUCAAACAACAUCUGCAUCAAAUUGUGAAUGUAAUUGAAGCACAUUUAGCUAUAUUCACACCAAAGCAAGAAACAGAUUGAAGUUUGAAAGACUUCAGAAGCUUAUAUAUACCUAUUAUAACAUGAAGUUGAGGAUGAGACAUCAGAAAAGAAUAAGCAUUGAUCUGAUAAAUAAUAAGUUUAAUCCUAUUAGCUUUGACCAUAUUUUUGAAGAUGAUGAUCCACUAACAAAAUGGUUGUAAAGAGAAAGAAAAUCCUCUAUUAGAUGGUCAAAACUCUGAUUGGCUGCCUGCAGAUAAUUCUGAUAAUGAAAUAAAUAUUGAACAAUCACGUCAAUCUCAAUAAAAGAAUGUGUCUCAUUCAAGUUUAAGUCCAACACCAAGUCAAAGUGAUGAUAGUGGUGGUUUAAAUCCAGAUUGUCAUAACGUCUAGAUCCGAAGAUCUAUCGCUAGACAUUGACUUUAGGGAGUCGCCACCAAUCUUUUUUAUCUAGGUGCGAUUGGCCACCUUAAGAAUAUGUCAUUUCAGGGAACACCUAAGCUUAAGGGUCCCUAAAAGAAUAGGUUCGGGUCUGCUAACCAGAACAGGGUUCGGGAGUUCGGUUACGUGUGAGGAAGGUUAUAGCACCCUCACAACGCCCAUCAAAAGAUGGUACCAGCAUAAUUUUGUGUUAUCUAAUAAGCCUUAAAAUUUUACCAAGUAAUUAAUUAUUGGAAAUUAUUGUCAAUUGACUCUAAUACUUUUAGUAGAAAAUUGAGAAAAUUCCCUCACCUCAAGAGUAUGCAAAAAAAACUACUGUUUCACUUGCAGAGGCUCCGUCGUCGGAUUAAUUAAGGAAAAAUGAAAAUCAAAAUCAAAAUAGAAAGGAAGGAAAUGAUGAUUGUUCUUAUGUAGGGAAAAUUGAUACUUUCAACUUUUCCCCAAAAAUUAUUUUUUUGAAAUUUAUUUUUUAAGGAAAAUUGAUACUUUCAACUUUUCCUCAAAAAUAUUUUUUUUUGAAACUUUGAUUUCCAAGAAAAAUUGAUACUUUCAACUUUUCCUCAAAAAUCUUUUUUUUGAAAAUUUAUUUUUAAGGAAAAUUAAUACUUUCAACUUUUUUCCAAAAAUAUUUUUUAGAAAUUUAUUUCUAAGGAAAAUUGAUACUUUCAACUUUUCCUCAAAAAUAUUUUUUUGAUUUUUAUUUAAAGAAUAUAAAACAAAAUAAAAGUAAAAGUAAAUAAAGAAGAAAAAAAUAAAAAGAAAAGUAAAACAAAAAUAAAAAUAAGAUAAAGAUAAAAAAUAUUAAAUAAAUCUAAUCUAAUAAAUAAAAAAAUAGAAAAACAAAUAAACAAAUAAAUGAAAAUAAAAAAAAUUCAAAAAAAAAAACCUGGAGCGGCUCGAAUCGCGGCUCGGCUCGGCUCAACUCAAGGAAAAGAAAACGACUCGAGGGGCGGCUUGGGAAGCUCAGCUUGGCUUGGAGGGGGGCAGGCACGCGCCGGUCAGAAAGCGGGUCGACGCUCGAGUCGGGUCGGGUUUCGACAAAACGCGCGGAUCCUCUGGUUACUUAAUGCCAAAACGAUGACGUUUUGAGAAGGUAUAAAAAGCACUUCCCUCUAUUUUUCGACAGAACGCUCCUCCCCUCUCUCUCUCUUCUUCCUUUUUCCUCUCUCCUCUCUCUAAAGGGCCUGAAGAACACCGAUAAAAUUUUCGUCGGAUUCUGGAAAAAGUCAACGGAAUCUGGAAAAUUCACCGGAUGUUCGUCGAAAGUUUGCCGGAAGAUCAUCGGUUUCUGAGAUUGUUGGCCGGGAACUGGACAGGUCACCGAAAACUUCAAGGUUCACCUAAAUUGUUACCGAAAAAUUCAAAUGUCACUGGAAUUUUCGUCGAAAUCUAAAAAUUUCUCAGAAAUUUCCAGAAAAAAUUUUCGCCAAAAAUUUCUAAAAAAUUAUUUCUGAUCCCUACAGCUAUCCUAACUCUUCUCAACCUUCUUUAGCCUUCGAAAACUCUUCUAUACACCUCUUUUCUCUCAAAUUCAGUAGCUUUACUCACUGUUUUCUCUGUGUCCGGCAUCUGUUCUAGGAGGUCCCUUUUAUUGGGAUUGAUCAGGAGUUUCUGAUCAAUCCCAAUUCCUCCUUGGACGGGGAUUUAAUCUUUGAAUCCAAUUGGACUCUUUUGAUUGAAUCCUCAUUCCCAGUAGGAUUCUUCACCCUUCAAUCUCAGCCCUCCAAAAAUCAAAUAAAAAAAACUAGAUAAUUAGAAAAGAUAAAUAAAAAAUUAUUAUAGGAUAAAUAAAAAAUAAUAAUAUCAGAUAUAUAAUUAGAUAAAUAAAAAUACAAAAAUAAAUAAAAUAAAAGAUAAAAAAAUAAUAAACAUAUAUAUAUAUAUUAGUAGUAAUACAUAAAUAAUAAAAUACAUAGGAUAUACAUAAAAUAUAAAAUAAAAUAAAAAUAAAAAUAAAAAUGACAAAGAUAAAAUUGAACCUACCUAUUUGGACCAAGCCCAAUUGAUCCGAGCCUGGAUCAAAUUGGGUAUCUACACCUACCUAUUUGGGCCAGGCCCAAUUGAUCCGGGCCUGGACCAAAUUGGGUGUCUACACAGAUGAUGAUGAUGAUGGUAAUGGUGAUGGUGAUGGAGAUGGUGAUGGUGCGAAUUUUGAUGAUAAUAUGGAUGCAAAUCGACCUUACAACCCACAUGGAGGAGAAUUUAGGUUUACUGCUACUGGUGGACUUUUCAUUAAUAUGGCAGAAUAUGAAGUAAAUUCAUUUGCUGAAUCUAGUGAGGAUCAAAGUACACGUACAACUCGAUCAAAAGGAAAAGUUAAAAAGUACCACUAUGAUAUUUUUAAAGGUUCUUCAUCUUCAGGUGAGAGACCAAAUUUUAGUAACUUUUAGUAUAGUAAAUUAUCUGCUAGUGCUUAAGGACAUUGCUAUCCACUGAAACAACUUGAUUUUCGAUCUUCUCAUGGUUAUCCACCUCCAUAUGGUUAUUAUCCACCUCAAAUGUAUCCUCCACCUCAAAUUUAUCAUUUACCACAAAUGUAUCAUCCUUAAAUAUAUCAUCCACCUCAAAUAUAUCAAGAACAAAGACCUUAGGGAUGGAGAUGAAGUUAACUUGGCUCUCAAAGUGAAGAUAGAGAAUCUGAUCUUCCUCGUCAUUCUACCAUGUGGUAAAAUUUAAAAUAUAUAUUAAUAAUUGUAGUUGAUGGAAUUUGAAAUUAUUAUAUUUUUAAGUUUGUAAUUUUAUUAAAUAUAAAUGCUUGGUAUUUAACAUAUUAUGUUUUGUUAAUAUUUGAUUUGUCUAGAAUUAAUAUUGAAUAUGAACUUGGCCAAGAAAAAUUUUGUGGAUAAACCAAAUAUGAAUGCUUUUUAUAAUCUAAAUAAAAUUGUGAAUAAUUUUUUUAGAAAAUAAAAAACAUAGAGUGUCAUAAAUUAUUUUUAAAAUCAUUGAAUAAUAGUUUUUAUUAUUAUAAUUAUAAUUAUUAUAUUUUAUAAUAAAUUAUGCAAAAAAAAAAAAUUCACGACCUUGAUGACCACAAUGAGCGCAAUAAUUUUUGUUAUAUCCGAAAAUGAGAUAAACAAGACACGAACGAAAAUAUGAUCACGAUCGUUAUUUAAAUCCCUAAUCUACACUACAUGAUGUCCUCUGCUUUUCACUGCACAUCAUUCUUUCCGUGGGGUUCUUUUUCCUUCUUUUCCUGUAACACAUAUCCCCAUGGUAUAACAUUAUCAAAAUGCUUACUACAAAUUAAUUUGAGCUUCUUUAACCUGAUCCUAAAGACUUCAUAGAAUGUUUUUCCUGAGUGAAACUAUCGGUUGCAGUGCUACUGCUCAUGCCUAGUGAAAUUAAAUGCAAAGGUGCUUGAAUUAUGCCUCGUUGGAGUUAAAAAGUAGAAAGUGUUUGACAAAUUAAGUAUGUGAUAUGAUCAUUUACUUAUAAGUGUUGAGACAAAUUUCAAAUAUAAGUUUAGCGAUAAGACAUUGAUUAAACGACCUAAAGGUUCUCACUUCUGUUAACUACAAGAGAGAUAAGGAAUUUACAAAUUUGAUGGUUGAAACUAAAAAACUAAGAACUAAGCUAAACUAAAUUUAAGAAAAGUUUGAAAAGAUUAAAAGAAUUUAACUCUUCUUCUUCUUCAAAAUUUAUUUUUUAUAUUAGGUUGAAGGCUUUUUAUAGUCUUCUCAUGUGUAAUUUGCAGUUGGACAUUAUUCUACAAUCCUGAAAGUGCUAAAUGUCGGUUGAUAACCAUUCAUGAUUUCUUGAAACUUCAAACUUGAAAAAAAAAAAAACACACACACACACGCAUAAAAGAAGAGAAAAUUAAGGUGUUGAAUUUGGCAUCCUAACAUCCAAUUAAGGACAUAAUUAUUAACACUUGAAAUUCUCAAGUUUGGCUUUUCUAAUUUGUUUUAGUUGGCUAGAGUUGUCGGAAUUUGUCUUGAUAACAUUGUUUUUUUCUAAUGGACAAUAUCAGAGGCACUCAUCUGGUAGCUUUUUCUAAUUUGUCACAUGCUUUUAUUUUCAGCUUGGACAUCUAAGUCCAAAUUUUUAAAGGUUAAAGUCUAUUAAUUAAGCUUACUAAUUAACUAAGUAAAAUUUAAUGACAAUAAGACAUUAGUUCAACGACAAGAAGAAAGUUCUAGAAUUUGAAGAUCUUAGGAUCAAAUUCCACUAUAUGUGGAUUUGAUUGUCCAAUUAUGUUCUAACUUAUUUGUUGAUUAUUCAAUGACUGAAACUUAAUUAUAUUACAAUAGUUAAUUAUAUAAUUAUAAUAUUUGAUUAUGAUUGUAACAAUUAAGAAAAUAAUAAAAACUUAAUCAAAGCUGUAAACUUUUUAAAUAAUAUAAUAUAUUGUUUAAUUCAAAAUGCUUAUUAAAUAAUUAAAUAAUCAUUAAAUAAUUUGUUAAUUACAAAAUUAUAUAUUUGUAUAAUAUAUAUAUAUAUAUAUAUGUAUAAGUGUUCAGCUUUGGGAAGUAAAUCUCUAUAUUCAAGUAAAUUUAUUUUUUUAUCAAGAUUAAAUUUUAAAUAAUUUAUUCUUUUAUAUAUCUGAAUAUUAAUUUACUCAAAUAAUGUUAAAAAUAAGUCAUUCAUUAUUUUUUCACAUCAUGUUCAUUGGAAACACUUUAUUCUCUCACAACAAUUUUUCAUAGCAAUGCCAAAUAUUCUAAAAUUUUAAACCAUAAUUUCUCAGUAUUUUUGCACAAUACUUGUCAUAUACACUUUUUUUAAAUAAAAUUUGUUUUCCAAGAUUGAGAAUCAACAUACUCGGAUAUGUAUGCUUAGCAAAAAAUUUUUACUUUUAAGCUUCCCUUGGUGAGCAAGCAGCUUACAUAACUCGACAAAAAAGCGGUAACGCCGGCCCAUGUUAGCAAAAGGAUUGGGGGCAAGCAGCAGUUCCGCUAGCCCAUGUUAGGCAGCCUUUCUCGCCCAUGGCCCUUCCUAUCUGUUAACUUCCACUUCCAAAGGGCCGAAGUCUUUUCUUGCGAGCUUCAACAAUUGAAAAUUUCCGAAGUCUUUUCUUGCAAGCUUCAACAAUUGAAAAUUUUAAGUUCCUUUUUUCUAUUUGUCACCUACUCAAAAUUCUUACAAUCUUCAGCAAAUUUCGUUUUUGUUAGUAAAAAUUAAUUAAUAAAAGCAUUAAACUCCACUUAUUUGCUAAAGAUUUAUCACCGGCGUUUAUGUUGAUUAAGGAAACACUUAUUUCAGAUUUUUUUUUUGGUUCGAAUAUUUCAGAUCGUAGUCCUUUUAAUUUCAGUGUUUUCUAAUAAUAAAUUUAACAGUAAUCAUAAUCUAAUAUUGAGAGUACCACAAAGUAUAAAUGUUUGUUUGUAUUGCAUUCAUUAAUCAAUCGAGCAAAGCCAAAAGCUCCAGGCUGUUCGUGAUCACGUGUAAAGUUGAGCAACGCGGACGGAAUUGAAUAUUUAUGAGGGAGAAGGCGACUGGAGAAUUGACAAAAGAGAUGGAAUUGGGUUACCCCUUUUCUUUCACAAAUUUACAAAAUUCUCGUUCGUCAUAAAUCUCCGUCGAUUUAUGACCAUGAAACAUAAUAGAAAACAACAAAUGAAGUUAUAAACAUCUUGAAUAAUAAUUAAAAAAAAAAAACAGAACGUGAGAAACUUUUGUUUUUUUAUUUAAAAGAUAAAAAUAUUUUUAAUUAUAAUAUAAUAAUUAUGUAAAUUUUUAAUAUUUUAUUACAAUCAAUUAAAUUUUUUAUUUUUUAUUUUAAUUUAAUUGAAUCCUUAAUCGGACAAAUUUUAAUCAUGUAAAAAUUAAAUCAAAUAAUAUCGAAUUACAAUAAAUAAAUUCUUAAAAAGAUUUUAGAGAUCACAAAAGAGAAAAUAGUAAAAGAAAAAGAAAAAGAUUAUUUGUUGUUUUCUCAUAGUUGAAGCAAGAUCAAGAUCCUGCAGCUGUGAGAGGUCAUCCUGCAUGGAUCGAGCAAGUUGUGAGUACAGCGAGUUGCAUCCUAAAAAUUGAAUCUCAUAAUUAUGCAAAGCAAGACUAAGGAAAACUUUGUCCAAAAUUAAAGUUCUCCUCAACAUUAUGGAAUAAGGAGUGCAUGUGUGUAUACGUGUAUUUGGCAUCCAAAAAUGCAAAUCCUUGCCAAUCAACAACCAAAUCCAAUGUAUCAAUGCCAUCAUUAAGUUAUAUAACUCUCUCUCCCAUCAAUUCAUUGAAGGCCAAAAGUGUAAUUUAGCAAAAAAUAAAAGGGAACUCAAAAUAAAGUAAAAGCAAGAAAAUAAACAUUGAAAAUGCUUCAAAAUUUCGAAUUUUACACACCUCUGUAGCAAAAAGCAAGCUAGUGCACUCAUCUGUAUUAGGUAAGAAGUCUCCAUAUAGUUGCCAAAAGUUAUCAUCCCUAUCAAAUGCAUACAGAAGAAGGCAUGCCAAUCUCAGAUCCCAAUCCGUCUGCCAAGAAAGAUACCCAUAAAUUACAGCAAAGAACAGAAGGAUCAGUGUUGUUAUACAAGUUAAGUAGCGUGCUAGUGCAUUCACCAAAUUGAAUAAUAAAUGCAUAAAUACUUAUAUGAUAAUUAAGUGCUUGAUAUAAAGGAAAAUUUCAAUUACCUCAGGAUUGGUUGCGUUUAUGAUAUCAAAUAUGGGAUGACCUAUUGGAACUAUAUCAGGGAAGAACAUCCAUGGCAGCUUCUGCCUUACUGUCAACAUCAAUUCUAAAGGUUCCAUGAUAAUCUGCUCAGUCAAGUGCAGAAGCAUAGUAACCAACACGCACAUAUAUAUAUGUAUAUAUUCAUAGAAGUAUAACUAGUACAACAUUUGUUAGGAUGCAAAUACAUAAUAAUAAUAAUAAAAAUGAUAACAAUGCAGGAAAGUGGCGAAGCAGGCAGGAAGGGAGAAGCAUGAGAAUGGAAAAAGUUACUUUGACUUAUCUAAAUUGGGACAAUAAGUGAGAAAUAAUAAGGUAGAAAGGUAGAAACAGACUCUGGCACGACGAAGAGGCUCAACAUCUUUGGAGGCAUAGACUCCAAAACCGUCUGGUCCUUCCUUAAACUCAAUUCCAUAAGCUCUCAUACUUCGAACAUAACCUAUCUUGUAGAAAUCAGGGUGGGUCUGCAGGCUCCAACUGUGAGGAAAAGGGUAAAAGUAGCAAAGGGAGGGGAAGGUGUUAAACACCCAAAAAACAAAAGUAAUAAAAGCAUAGGGGUAGGGGAUUGAAAACCCAUAAGCAUUUACCUGAGAGGGAGAUUCUUGAAGUGGGGGAGGCUGAAAGAGUGGAAAAGGAGGAGUUUCCACGGAAGCAUUAAUGGGUUUCAAACGAUACGUGGAUCUUGGUGUCGGUGACCACUCAUGACCACGACUAUAACCAUGAUGAUAUUCCCUUUCCCGGCGAGAAUAGCUGAAGUGCCCAAUGAUAUGAUGAAGGGGAACAGUUGAGAUCGCCAUUGGUCAUUGGAGACAACGGGAGAGCGAGUCUAUUGGAGUUUAAAACGGAACCAUGGUGGCAAGACUGGCAGUGGACUACUCCGGUGUUGCCGUUCUCUUUAGUUAGGAUAAGAAGCUCGACUCAAGUCCAAACCCAAAACUCGAAAAACAUUAUCCGAUCGCAAUCAGGGACCAGACUGCAUAGCAGGGUGCAAAACGUAUGAGGCAACCGGCAGUCCGGCCUAGCCCAUGAUUAGCUAGCCUUUCUCACCGGAUGGGCCCCAACUAUCCUGUUAACUUCCACCUCCAAGCCUGAUUUUCUUUUUUUUUUUUAACGAGCUUUAUCAAUUUAAAAAUUGAAGAUUAUUUAUAUUGUCACACAAAAUUUACAAAUUAUUUUAUACCAAGAAAUUCACCAAAUUUAAAUUUACCAGAAAUUUAUUUAUGAGAGAGAAGAAAAGAAGCUUAUAUGAACAUGGUAAAAAAAAAAUAAUAUGAUUUAAAAUUUUAAUAAAAUUAAAAUUAUAUUUUAUAUUUUAUAUAAUAUAAAUUAUAUAAGUAUUUUAUAAAAUAUGAAUAAUAAAAUCCUAAUAUUAUAUAAAUACACAAAUUACGGUUUAGCUGAAAUAAAAAAUUGUAAUUUGGGCUAAAAGGGAAGAAAUGUUUAUGGGAGCUGCGCCAUUUACUAAGAUGCUAAUGGCUGAUGAUGAGCUUUGGUCACAGUCCAAGGCGAUCGCACUCAUUUGCUACCAACUAAACUGUGAUUUCCCAUCCCUCCACUUCAAGAGCUGCACUAGAUGAAGAUAAUGCUGACGAUAAAUGUAACACAGACAUAUGUCAUCAGAGUAUUGCAUCUUACAUAAAAGUAACACUAUAGAAUUUAAAUCAUUUCAAAUGUUUCCAUAUUCUAAUUAAGAAAAAAUUAAUGAUCUAAUUUGUAUUUUUUUAAUAAUAAAUUUCGACUCUUACGAAUUUAGAUUGGGUUGAUAUCAAAUUGAAGCUUAUAACGUUAUAGUUAAUUCGAAUUUAGUCGAAAUUGAGUUAAAAUUUCUUUUAAUGGUCUUCGAAUUCAAUAAAUUUUUUUGUUCUAUUUUUUUGUCUAUAUAUAUAUAUUGAAGUAUUUUAAAAUUAUAUCAUUUUUUAAUAUUUUAAAUUAUUUUUAUAUUUUUAUAAUUUUUUUACAUUAAAAAUUAUAAAAUUUUAAUUUCCAAAAAUUGAUUUUAAUAUAUAAAAAUAUAUUAAAUCAAAAUUUUAAAAAUUAAUAAAUAACAAAUAUUUUAAGAUAAAAAGAAUAUUAUUUUAUCAUCUCUAAUCGUACAACAUCAAAUAUAUUGGUGUAACUGAUAACCAAGUGGCUUAGGAAUUCUUCUUUAAUUUUUUUUUCCUUAGCACUGUCAUCCAUAAGAAAUUUCUGCAUAGCACUUUAUCAUCCAGAGAACUCCAUGAAAUUUUAGGUAGAAACCUACCAGCAAACGAACGCGGUUCUGACUUGUAGUUGUAUAAGAUAAAACAAAAAUAAUCAUUUUUGCUUUAAGUAAAAUGAGUGAUGAUAAUGGGGCACCGACAGUGUAAAUUGGCAGGCUUUCUACGCCAGACCACACAAUGUAAUAAUUGAUUGCUUCAUAAAAUUAGUCUAUUCCUAUAAUUGAAAAUACUCCUACUUUUUGAAUUUUACACUAAGCAAUCGACUGCCUUGGGACAGAUGUUCGUUGGAACCUUCGAUUGAAGGGACACUAAGGGUUUUGAUGAUUGGAUCCCCUACUGAGCUGCGGGAUGUUAUCUUUCGGUGCAUUUGACCCGGUAGAAUCCAAAUUAAACCUAAAACAUAGGAGAAAACUGAAAAGGAAAAGAUGCAUAACCCUCCACCACCAGACCCCCAUCAUCCACACCACCCACCACCCUGUGCACCACCUCCUAGUUCCCAAGCGCCACCACUAGACCGUCCUGAGCCACGCAAAUCGAGUCCAUAUAUAAUUCCCACUGCUAAUCAUAUAUAUGGCUUGGAGGCAUUGCAUAUUAUGUAGCAAUGAUUCAUAGUUUGUGGUUCUUUACUGAUGUACUCUUCUAACCAUUAGUUGGACACAGGUUCAUAUUUUCGUAGCUUGUUUUUUACUUAAUUUGCAAGCAGAGAUGGAUUUACACUGGGGGCAGUGGGGGCAACCGCCCCCAUUGAAAUCCUAAAAUCCUUUUUAAGUAUAUUAAAAUACUUGACAAAUAUAUUUACAUUUCUCUCUUUCUAUUUGCAAACUUUAUUUUUUAGCUUAUGUGAAAUAUUAUUGUAAAAAUGUCGAAAUCAAACAUAAAAUGAUAAAAUAUUUGUAAAAAAAAAAUACAAUUAAAGCUAAAAUAAUCUUGUAUAGUAAAAUAUAGAUAAUGGCUAAAAUAAAACUACAACAAAACACUCAUAAUAUACAAAUUUAUUUUUAAAAUAUCAAAUUACUUUUUUCUCUUGUUGUUUUUCUUUUAUAUUGAUAAUGUGGUAAGGUAUUUAUUUAAUAUUAGUUAAAAUUUUUAAUAAUAUAUAUUUGACGUAAAACAAUGUUGUAUAGAUGUAUUUUAACAAAGUUGUAGAGAUGUAAUCUAACAAUCUAAAAUUUAGAAAAAAAAAAAAAAAACUAGCAUCAAUUUUAAAAUUAUUCAAAAAAGUUAAAAUAUCUAUAAAACUAUAUAUCAUGUUGUUGGUCUUAUUUUGUAUUUUCAUAUCUUAUCUUAUGUCUUAUAAACUAUAGAGAAACUAAAUUAAUAUUUGAUUUAAAUUAGUUAAGGACAAACAUCAUUAGCAAGAGAAAGUAAAUUUUAAAGAAAAUAUUGAAAUCGAAUAAAUAUAUAUAUUAAUAUUGAUAAUGAAAAAAACAAUCUUACAUUUUUUAUCUAUGAAAACUAUUUAACUCAAUCAUAUAGUGCUAUUUUCAUUUGAAAAAUAAUAAUAUUACGUGUUUAUGUUUAUUUGAUAUUUAAAUAUUCGAUGUAUUUAAUAUUAUAAAAUUUUGUUAUAUUUAUGUUAAUUUUUAUUUAAAUUUUGUAUAUAUUUGAUAUUGUAAGAAAUAUUUUAAAUUUUUUUAUUAAAAGUUCAUUUUACAUUUAAAAAAUAUUAUCUUUACAUUAAAAAAAUUUAAGUAAAUAUAUUAUAUAAUAAAUUUACUCCCACCGAAAAAAUAUGUUGAAUCCGUCCCUGUUUUCAAGUGACAAAGUAUGAUGUAAUACAAAGUAGCACAUUUCCUUCUAUCUAUUGCUGUCUGGUCUGUACAUCAUGGGCAUAUAUAUAUAUAUAUAAUUUUUUUUUCUUUCUUUGAUGUUGUUCAUUAUUUGCUUGUAAUUAUUAAUUUUGGUUUCUUUUACUAUCCUUUUAUGUCUAAAUAAUUGAAUAUAUAUUAUUUUAAUUUUGGUCUCUGGAAUUGGGAAUGCUUAAUUAUUUGAGCAAAGGCAUGGGAGAUGUGUAAUAUGCCUCACUAACCAUUUAUACUAUUUACUUGAUUUGAUAUCAUAUAUAACUCAAGCAUUUACUUCAAAUGUAUUUUAUAUAAUUGGUUAUGAUUGGACAAAAAAACAAAAACGGUAGAUAAACAUUGGACUGGGAUUGAAGACACGGAUUCAGCUUAUAUAUAUGAUACCAAUUGAUUAUUUUUUAAAUAAAUCAAAGUUGAGGGUAAACGUUUUGUUAAUAAAAUUUUAGAUAAGAAAAUAUAUAUUUCAUACAGAAAAGAAAGAGAAUCUAAUUUUUAUUCAUGAUCUUUAAAUGAAUUAAAAAAUUUCUUGACCUCAUCGUGUGAAUGGAGAAUAAUAACCACAAAAAAGCUCGUAGCACUAGAAAUAAAAUAUCUCAAACAAAAGAACAUGCCGACAACGUGCAACUAUGCAUUAACGGGCCUCCGAGUAAAGUUCUUAUCAUAACCUUAUCUUCAAAUCUAGGACUCAAGCACUAGUAAAUUCAAUAGUCUUGUUAAAGAGUUUCACCACACCAAGAAGUUAAGAAGAAUACCAGCAACAAAAGUAGAGAAGAGAAGAUGCAUCAUCCUCACGGACCUCCUCAGCAUCAGGGUCCUCCUCCUCCCGGUUCCGAAGGACCUCCACCGGGAGGUCCGGGUCAUCAUGGACCUCCACCAGGUGGUCCGGGUCACCAAGGACCUCCACCGGGAGGUCCGGGUCACCAAGGACCUCCACCGGGUGGUCCAGGUCACCAAGGACCUGCACCAGGACAACAUGGACCUCCAUCGGGUGGGCCAGGUCACCAUGGUGGCCACGGCGGCCAUGGCGGGCACUGCUAAGCAGGUGCAUGGUUUGGUAGGGUUAUAUAAAUGUUAGUUUGCUGUAAUAAAAGGUAUUAGAGAGGAAUAAGGAUCAUCAAGUGCUUGAUCAGAUAAGAACUAUGCCCUUACAUUACUUGUAUCAUGUGUUUUUUGAGGUAUGCCGUGAAAAGUGGGAAGCCUGACUUGAUCUUUGUACUGAUGUUUUUCUAAGUUCUAUCUUCUAUGUAUGUUAAUCAAAUAAAUUAUAUAUGGGAGUAGUUCCAUAUCUACACUACACGAUGUCCUCUGCUUUUCACUGCACAUCAUUCUUUUCGUGGGGUUCGUUUUCCUUUUUUUCCUGUAACACAUAUCCCCAUGGUAUAAAAUUAUCAAAAUGCUUACUACAAAUUAAUUUGAGCUUCUUUAACCUGAUCAUAAGGCCUUCAUAAAAUGUUUUUCGUGAGUGAAACCAUCGGUUGCAGUGCUACUGCUCAUGCCUAGUGAAAUUAAAUGCAAAGGUGCUUGAAUUAUGCCUCUUUGGAGUUAAAAAGCAGAAAGUGUUUGACAAAUUAAGUAUGUGAUAUGAUCAUUUACUAAUAUAUAAGUGUUGAGACAAUUUUCAAAUGUAAGUUUAGCAAUCUGACAUUGAUUAAACGAUGUAAAGGUUCUCACUUCUGUUAACUACAAGAGAGGUAAGGAAUUUACAAAUUUGAUGGUUGAAACUAAAAAACUAAGAACCAAGCUAAACUAAAUUAAAGAAAAGUUUGAAAAGCUUAAAAGAAUUUAACUCUUCUUGUUCUUGUUGUUCUUUAAAAAUUAUUUUUUAUAUUAGGUUGAAGGCUUUUUCUAGUCUUCUCAUGUGUAAUUUGCAGUUGGACAUUAUUCUACUAUCCUGAAAAUGCUAAAUGUUGGUUGAUAACCACUCAUGAUUUCUUGAAACUUCAAACUUGCAAAAAAAAAAAAAAACACACACACACACACAUAAGAGAAAAGAAAA
rnacentral:lncRNA from 1 species